GGGACAUCAGUGUAGGGCCAGAUCAGAAAGAUCAAGCCUGAUAAGAGUCAAACUGAAUGCUACUUUUGUAAGAAGUGGGGGCACUGGAAGAGGAACUAUUCUCAGUACAUUGCCUUCCUAGACUCGAACAGGUAGAGAAAGAAGCAAGCUGUUGCUGGACAAGGUAUUUAUAUGAUAACUCCUUGCAAUUUCUCUAUUUAUGAUAUAACUGACUGGGUAUUGGAUAUCGAUAGCCCUUACCAUAUUUGCAAUUCGUUGCAGGGGUUGUAACUCAGUAGGAGAUUCGAGCAAGAUGAGAGAUUC
rnacentral:lncRNA from 1 species